UACGAACCGGCCAAACGUUAUUAGGAAUCAUUGGGCUUAAAGAGUGCGUAGGCGGCGCCGUAAGUCGGGUGUGAAACCCCUCGGCUCAACCGAGGAACUGCGCCCGAUACUGCGGCGCUCGAGGGAGACAGGGGUGAGCGGAACUGAUGGUGGAGCGGUGAAAUGCGUUGAUAUCAUCAGGAACCCCGGUGGCGAAAGCGGCUCACUGGGUCUCUUCUGACGCUGAGACACGAAAGCUAGGGUAGGGAACGGG
rnacentral:rRNA from 1 species